GACGAACGCUGGCGGCGUUCUUAACACAUGCAAGUCGAGCGGAGCGGCGAACGGGUGAGUAACUCGUGAGUAACUGCCACCCUCUCUGGGAUAACUGUUGGAAACGGCUGCUAAUUCCUGAUAGUUGGGUAUGAAUCGCGUCCUAUCAGCUUGUUGGUGGGGUAGUGGCCUACCAAGGCGACGACGGGUAGCCGGCCUGAGCGGUCGACCGGCCACAUUGGGCUUAGAUACGGCCCAAACUCGUACGGGAGGCAGAAGGGGGGAAUAUUGCACAAUGUGGGAAACCCGGAUGCAGCAACGCGCGGGCGGUAUGACGGCCUCCGGGUUGUAAACCGCGUUCAGCUAUGACGCGGUAGUGGCAGAAGAAGGAACGGCUAACUACGUGGCAGCCGCCGCGGUAAUUC
rnacentral:rRNA from 1 species